AUCAAGGUGGAAAUGAGAAAUAAGGAACUCACGAAUGAUCAUACCUGGAAUGCUUCUUUCAAGCCAAGAGUGGGUUAGCUUCCAGCUGUGCUUUUGCUCCUCUUGUAAUUCUCUACUUUGUUCUUUCCUCUCACAGUUCUGUCUUUCUCCUCUCAGCUCAGGCUUUUCUUCCCCCAAGUAUCUCAAUAUCUCUAUAUAACAGCAACCAAAUCCUCCUCACCUCCCUGUAACCAGCCCAGAAAAAAUAUCGCAUCUCUCUCUUAACAAACAAAAUACGCUCCUCCUUCCUUUGCAACCGCCUGCAACUUUUUUUUUUUUUUCAUUUCUUUCAAACCACCCCAGAAUAUACUCUCAUACGUGUCCAACCCUCUUUGGUUCUCCAAACCACUAGCCUGAUUCCUCACCAGCCAACCAUGAAUCAACACGUGGCUCCUUGAGAGCCCUCCACCUGGUAAGAAAAGUCUGCAGAAAAGUGAGAAAAAUGAGCCCCCAAAAUGGGGGUCUACAGGGUUUUUAAUUAAUCAUUUAUAGGGUUUAAUCGAAGAUGUCGAAAUUGGGUACGUUUUGGGCUUCAAUGGGAGAUUCAUGUAAAAUCCGACACUGGGCUUUCCUGAAUUGCAAUUUGCAGAGAAGUUGAGUCGGUGGAAGGAAGAGGACACUCUGGACAAUAGAGAGAUUUUUGUGGGAUCGACGCUUUGGACUAGAGCUUUUCUAUGUUCCUUUUAGCAUGGAGAAUGGGUUUGCCAACCCUUUUGCCCCUUAAUUUUCAAUGACAUCCUUGGAGAUUCUUACAAGUGGAGAUUCUUAAGGUGAUAUCUGCAGAAGUGUUACCUGUGGUUGUGAAUGAUAGCUUGAAUCCCGUUUGGACUCAAAACUUUUUACUUUGUUGUUGAGGAUGGAUUGCAUGAUACAUUUGGGAAGGAAGAACCAAUAACAUUUUGAGAUAAUGGCGCUUCUGGAACGUCAUUUCAAGAUGAGCUUAACAUUGGUGCUCUUUAAAAGCGCCAUCUUCUGUUUGGUAUAUAAAUUACCCUUAUUUUCCCAAGUAAAAAAAUACCCAACGUUUCCUACCCUAUGUCCAUACUCAGCUGUCGCAGAUCUUCCACCUGAAACUGCACUCGCCACUCCAAUUGCAAAGGGCUGCUGCUGGCAAGCAAACCAAGAGCUGUUGCCAGGAACUUCACCAACAGCUACAUCUAGCUCUUACUUGUAUCGUCUUCAUAAGGUCACCCUCGAGAAGCUCCACAACCCUUGGUUUUGGAAACCUACCCAAGAGAAGGUGGUUUGAUGGGGUUGGGUUCAAAUUCUCACUCUCUCUCUUGUCCUUCAAAUGGUGGCCUCCCUUUCCCUCUCAUCUUUCAUUUUCAAUCUAGGGUUAUGAUUUUUUUUUUUUUUUUUUUUGUCUCUGAUUUUUUUAAGAUCUGAUCAGCUUCUAUUUUUGAUUGUUCAUUUUGGUUUUGGAGCUUCCCAAUCAAUGAGUUGUUGAUUACCUGAGCUUUCAAGCUGCUUGUCAUCAGUGACGAUGGAACAGGUAGAUUUCUGUUUUCUCCAGAAGUCUGGAUUUUCCAGAAAUGUUAUUUUCUGUUUUCUUGCCCAGAAAGUGUUGGAAAAUUACACUUUUUAAUAAAGGAUUUUUGACAUAGUUUGGGAUUUGGGUAAUGGGAAAAAUCUUUAAUUUUUUUUUUACUGGAUCUUUUGGCUAAUAGGGGAAGAAAAUAGUUACAUGCUAGGUUCAAACUUUGCUUCUGUGUGUUUUUAAUCAUUUCCUUAUUUUUCUCAGCAAACAGUGGAGGAUUAUGAGAGUUCUGGAUCAUGUUUUUUUAAACGAUAGGCAAUAAAAUAAAAUUUAAAAAAAGAAAAAAAGAAAAAAAGUCAUAUGUUAUUACUGUUGUGACGUGGAGUCCCCGGGACACUUGAUCAGCAUGAAAAUAAAAUCCAAGAUUUUCUUUCCCUCAUUUUACUCAAGAGGAUGACUCUGCAGUUAAAGCAUAUGAUGGUGGUGUUUGAGAAGGUGCACUUGGUUUGCUAUUGAAUUCAGUAAGAACUCAAAAUUGAGCAUCAGCAAUUCUACUUUUUUAGAUACCAUUCAUAGUUAAUCAAAACUAAGAAUAAUAAUUUUGUAAAAUAUAUUAAAGGCGAUGAAUUCACUUAUCAAAAAAAAUAAAAUAAAAAUUAAAGGCUAUGAAUUCAAUGAGUUCUAUUCAUUUUACCUUGCUAGUAAUAGUUAGUUCAAAACUGAUAUUUUUGUUGCAUAGGUUGCUCUUGGCAUUAGCUCUUGCAAAUGCAGAGAAUACCUUGUUGGCCUUUCACUUGCUGGACAUCUGAAAUGUUUUUUCUCCAUGACCUCCUCAGAUCAUUGUACUUUUCUAUUUGAGAGGUAGAGUGGUUUAUUUUGCUUAUGCAUGUUUAUGAUAUUGUUAUCAAAAGAGCAACCGAACUGGCUGGACUCAUGUGGAGACUCAUCUGGACAAGCUCUUUUGAUGCGAAAGAUCUUUGUUAAAUCCAGUACUUUCCAAGGUGAUCAUAUUGUUGUACUAAAUAAUGGAAUUCAUAUUGUCUAAAGGAAUAUGGUGCUUAUCUGCUGGAAGCAAUUGGUUUGUUGGACGCUAGACCAGUUAUGACUUCUGUUGAUCAACUGUUAAGCUUGAGAUUGAACAAAGUGAACCAUACAACCUCAAAUUUUAUUUCUAAAAAGCACAAAGAACUUCCAAAAUCUCAAAAAUACAACAUCAUUAAACACAAGAUUUCUAAUAGACUUAAAACUACUAAAGUUGAUCAAUUGUUAUGCCGUUUUCUUGGGUCCUAGAUGCAUAGAGACUCACAUUUUAUUCCUAAAAACCUCAAACAACUUCCAAAAUAAAGAAAAUACAACAUCUUUAAACACAAUAUUCAUCUUUAGCAUAAUUUCAGAACAAUUAUGCUUUAUGUGGAAUUUUCGGAAAAAUUGCCUAAAUCCUCUUUAAUGCAUAAUUUCCUGGAAGGUAUUAUACUUCAUUUAGAUGGGUCUUCUAUGUCUAUGAUGAAUUUGGUUGAUUUUUUAGGGGAUAAUUAAUUGGGGGUGGGUGUUGUACUCUUCUUUCAUCUCUCUUUUUGCUCAUCGCCUUUUGUAUACUCCCUAUAUACUUUAGUGUGCCUUACCUCAUCUUUCUUGUAUCUUCUCCUAUAGCUAUAAUAUGCUUUUGUUUUCCUAUCAAAAAGACACAAAAAAAAAAAAAGAUUCCUAACAAACACAAAAUGCUAAAGUUGAUCAAUUGCUAUGCCAUUUUCUUGGGUCCUGGAUCCGUCAUGUUGUUUAUAGAUGUAGUUUGGAACUUUAUUUUUGUUUCUGAAUCUUGUAGUGGAAAUGCCUGUUGCAUUAAAACAAGCAUUGUUUAUGCUGAAUCAUGUCUACAGGGGAUUUAGAUGGAAGAGUUUUUGAAAGUACAAUGUCUUUUUAUCACAUUGCUAGUGAAAAGAUAAAUAAUUAUUGAUUCUCAAUUCUAGUGAUGGCAUAGUAUAUAUAUAUUUGCUUCUUGUAACUAGUGCAGUGGAGAUGUCUUCUUACAUUGCAAAUAUUGAUUUCACUUAUUUGGCACUGGAAGAAUCCUUGAUUCCAUUGGAGAAACGAGACCUGCAAAUUGCCAAGAGCUUGAUGUUAGAGAUUGUACAGGUGCUUUGGAAAAGAAGAAUAAGUUAUCAAUGGAGACUGUCAAAGAAGUUGCAGCUAUUUCAAACUCAGAGGCACAACCUGAAGAAAGUGGUAGAUGCUGUGUGGGAGCAAAUGAAUAAAGGAGUAUCUGUUAAGGUGCUCAAAUCUUUUACAAACAAACCCAGUUCAACUGUGAACAGAACUUCGACUGUGUAUGACAUUUAUAUGGGCCUGGGGCCAAAGAAGAGAGUUUAUCUUCAGCAAGAUGUACAACAGAAGGGAUCUAGUGUUACAGAGAAUAGCACCAAUGAUGAGGUGAAGAGCCUUGCUGCUGCUGCUCUUUCCGCAGUUAGGAUGCUGCAGCAGCUGCUUCAGGCAGAGGAAAAGUUGAAAUUGCAGAGGUAUGGGACUUUGCGGGUGGAGAUAGAAUUAAAGAAGCUUGUUGAUGCUGCUCCAGAGGAGGCAUCUGAAAGGGCCAAAGGUCCAGCUGGUACAGCAUCUGCAGUUGAUCAUGCUCGACAAGACAAGAAAGGACGGGGGUGACUUCAAGGAAGACAAUAAGGGUCUGCAAGAGGAGUUGGAUGCAUAUAAGAUCUCAGACCAGUACCUGGAGAAGGUUUCUUUAUUGCAAGGAGCAGAUUGCAGGGAAUUUGAGUGGGAGAGGGAUGCUCAGCUGGCUUUGCAGGCCAGGAGAAAGGCCAGAUAUGAGAGAGGAUCCAUGAAAGUACCAUGCCUUGGUUGGCUAGUUUUUUUUUAUUAUUAUUAUUAUUAUUGUUGUUGUUUGUAAAUUAAAGGGAGAAGAUAUGGAAGAGUUGCAAAUUGAACGAGGCUAAUUGUUUUUGUAUAGUGUGUAGGAUGAGAUAUUUGCCCCGCAGCUGCAAGGUUUUGUUACUAUUUGUAUACAAGAAAAUAUGUCCUCUUUUCUUAGGUGGUCACAGGUCCCUUUGAUUCCCCAAAUUGUGAAACCGAGGGAUGGAGUCUUGUGCAGUGUUCUGGUAUCUUCCCCUCUUUUAUUUAAUGAAUUCCAAUGUCUAAUUCUAUAAUCUAUAUGCUACCAUCAAUAUUUUUCCUUUGCUA